rnacentral:rRNA from 1 species
AUGGCCAACAUCCUCCAUUGGGACUUUGCCCCUGGUCUCAAAGUGGAGGAACAGAUCAGACGUAGGUUUGGAUCCUCGGUUCAUUAUGAUCAUGAUCCAAAAACCAAGGAAUUUUUCUUGGUGGUUUCUUUCUCUUCUGCUUCUUUCCCUCUUUUGGUGGAAUCGGUGGGUUUGGUGUUACAAUGUUGCAUUGGU